AUGAACGCUGGCGGCGUGCCUAAUACAUGCAAGUCGAGCGAACAGAUAAGGAGCUUGCUCCUUUGACGUUAGCGGCGGACGGGUGAGUAACACGUGGGUAACCUACCUAUAAGACUGGGAUAACUUCGGGAAACCGGAGCUAAUACCGGAUAACAUUUGGAACCGCAUGGUUCUAAAGUGAAAGAUGGUUUUGCUAUCACUUAUAGAUGGACCCGCGCCGUAUUAGCUAGUUGGUAAGGUAACGGCUUACCAAGGCGACGAUACGUAGCCGACCUGAGAGGGUGAUCGGCCACACUGGAACUGAGACACGGUCCAGACUCCUACGGGAGGGAGCAGUAGGGAAUCUUCCGCAAAGGGCGAAAGCCUGACGGAGCAACGCCGCGUGAGUGAUGAAGGGGUUCGGCUCGUAAAACUCUGUUAUUAGGGAAGAACAACUGUGUAAGUAACUGUGCACGUCUUGACGGUACCUAAUCAGAAAGCCACGGCUAACUACGUG
rnacentral:rRNA from 1 species